CCCACACGUUGAGCUUGCUUCUACCUAUGCAAUGCCCAAGUCCUUCACUUUCAUGUUCUCGCCCUUCCACGUUGCUAGCAUGCUUAUGGCAACUCCUCCAAGAACAUCACGCCAGACCUUCAAUUUGGAGAAUCCAGACCAGAGACUGUCGUCCACCCUCCUCUUCUCACCCUUCCUCUCAUCCCUAUGCAUAUCAGUGUAUUUUCAUUCCCCGAAACGCCUAGUUAGGCACCUCCGAUCAAAAAAAUUUCUUCAUGAAAGUUGUUCGCCUAUGUCUCUUCUAUCUAGUCUCAAAAUUUCAGCUCCAUCGGAGUCAUUUUGAGACCUGUACACCCCUCGAAGUGGAUACCGUUCGGAAGCGAGCCUGUUCCGGAUUUCUGCUUGAAUUCCCUCUCUUGCUCUACCCAAAUCCCCCACAUCUUGCUUGAGACUGAUACCAACAGUUGGUAAGAUUCUUGAACAAUCAAGUUCCUAUUUCUUUCCUGAAUUUUUAGGCUCAAUACGUUCAAAACAACUCUCCUACAUAUUGAGAAGUUUCUGUUUCACUCGGCAUGUUUGAGAUUGAGCGAAUUUCUUGGCCUGCAACUGGGCUCGAUCCCAUCAACUCCCUCAGCUUUCUUUCCUAUUGAAGCCCUCAAGAAAAACUCAACUUUUUGGUUAGUCUUUGGCUCGAUAUCGUGGUAGGAUCUUGUGAAGUUGGCGGUUGCUACAAGGUUGCAUUGAGACCAAGUGCUACAAGAGAAAUCUCGAGUUCCAGGCCUUGGUUAUUUCUCCACCGUUUGACUUUUCAAGUUGGUGCCACAUGCCAACAAGAAUUAGAGAGCUUGAAUUUUUCCCCUGUAGGAGGUGUGAUGGCUUUGUUCAAUACUUGUAGGAGAAAUUUGAACCAAUGUCAAGUACACCGUUUCUUUUACUUUGAAUAGAGAAAAGAGUGCUAUAGCACUUCAUUAUCUUCUCUCAUUCACAAAUGAAGAGUUGCAAGAACUUCCAUUCCUCUGCUUAUUUCAUUCUCCUAAAAUUUUGGU